rnacentral:misc_RNA from 1 species
UCCGGUUUGUCACCGGCAGUCCCAUUAGAGUGCCCAACUGAAUGUAGCAACAUAGGACAAGGGUUGCGCUCGUUGCGGGACUUAACCCAACAUCUCACGACACGAGCUGACGACAGCCGUGCACCACCUGUGUAGGGCCCCGAAGGACACCGUAUCUCUACGGCUUUUCCCUACAUGUCAAGCCCAGGUAAGGUUCUUCGCGUUGCAUCGAAUUAAACCACAUGCUCCACCGCUUGUGCAGGCCCCCGUCAAUUCCUUUGAGUUUUAGCCUUGCGGCCGUACUCCCCAGGCGGGGCACUUAAUGCGUUAGCUUCGGCACGGAGGGAGUCGACACCCCCCACACCUAGUGCCCAUCGUUUACAGCGUGGACUAC